UCUAAAGGGACAUCGUCGCACGUCAAGUGAGAUCAGGUCAAGGGACUUUCAACUAAGGAAUUAAGCUCUGAGGUUGAACGUGUACGAGGAGGCGAAGGUGUUGGGAAGUGACUAUUGAAUUAGUAGAUAGGUAGCCCAAAGUAGUAUGUCUCCAUACAUACUAUUUUAUCUUGGACUCUUUCGCUGCAAAUAGAACGAUGUUCAAGGAAUGUAUAAAUUAAAUCUUGAUACUCUGAUUUCAUUUUGAAUAUGUACCCAUUCGCCUUCGAAACUAUUA